UUUGAAUAAUGAUUGAAUUUUGAGUGUUAUAAAUUGUUCCCUUGUUUAAGUUAAGCUAUGAAAAUGUUUUUGAGGUUUGGUUAAAUCAGCAUGCUUGUGUUAUAUGUGCUUUUUUUAGUUUGAAAACAAAAGUUUGGUAUACAGUUAUAUUUUUUCAUAUAGUUAGAAAAGUAUGGAUUCAAUUUUGUUCCAUUCUAACCUCACAAAGUAUCAAUUGCAGUAUGGCGUGAAAAUACUUGUUAUGACCUCUUUUAAGGACACCUGCUACAUCGAGAUUCUGCCUAUCAACCAGAAGUCUAAAGGAGCAAUUUUGUAAUUUUUCCCCAUCGUGAAGUGGAAGCUACAGUGACAUUUUCUGUGGAUCUUUUUGCCGG
rnacentral:misc_RNA from 1 species